UUUGCUCCAAGAAGACACAUAAUGACACAUAAUCUUGCAUUCUUGAUGGCAGAUGUCUGCUGUUAGUGAAAAUGAUGAGUUGUGAGGCACUGGCUACGAUUAGGCUUCUCGACGUCCUGUGCGAAAUGACUGUGAAUACUGAGCUGCUCGGCUAUCUGCAGGUUUUCCCUGGCUUGCUGGAAAGAGUGAUUGAUCUUUUACGGGUGAUUCAUGUAGCUGGGAAAGAAACCACAAACAUCUUCAGUAAUUGUGGUUGCGUGAGAGCAGAAGGUGACAUCUCCAAUGUGGCCGAGGGGUUUAAGUCUCAUCUCAUUCGUCUGAUUGGAAAUCUGUGUUACAAGAAUAAAGAUAACCAAGACAAGGUAAAUGAGCUGGAUGGUAUCCCGUUGAUCCUGGACAACUGCAACAUCAGUGACAGUAACCCCUUUCUGACCCAGUGGGUGAUAUAUGCCAUCCGAAACCUUACCGAAGACAACAGCCAAAACCAAGAUUUGAUUGCAAAGAUGGAGGAACAGGGGCUGGCAGAUGCAUCCCUACUUAAAAAAGUGGGUUUUGAAGUUGAAAAGAAAGGCGAAAAGCUGAUCCUGAAAUCUACUAGAGACACCCCUAAGCCAUGA
rnacentral:sRNA from 1 species